rnacentral:misc_RNA from 1 species
GUGGAUUCUCAACCGACUGAGCAGGUUUAAGAGCAUUAGCAUGGACAUCGUCUUCACAAAAUUCAUGACCAUUAAUCUUAUUGAAUGACUUAUCAUCUUCAGGAGAAUCCACUACGCGAAUGUCAUUUACAAACUCAUCCAUGCCAUUGCCUAUUGCAGGAGGAAAAGAUUUCUUCUCAGAACCGGAGUCAGCCAACUCAUGCCCAGCAUGAGAAUUGGAACAAAUGAUUCCUUCAUCUGAAACUUUAACCUUAGGUUCAAGAAAUCCGUCUGAAGAUGUAUCAGCUUCCAUACAUUGGGAAGUGACCUGCAC